rnacentral:rRNA from 1 species
UACGGAGGAUGCAAGCGUUAUCCGGAAUGAUUGGGCGUAAAGCGUCCGCAGGUGGCUGUGUAAGUCUGCUGUCAAAGAGCAAAGCUCAACUUUGUAAAGGCAGUGGAAACUACACGGCUAGAGUGCGUUCGGGGCAGAGGGAAUUCCUGGUGUAGCGGUGAAAUGCGUAGAGAUCAGGAAGAACACCUGCGGCGAAGGCGGGUAGCUGGGCCAACACUGACGCUGAGACGCGAAAGCUAGGGGAGCAAACAGG